rnacentral:lncRNA from 1 species
UUGCAGCUCUGAAAUAUGGCCAAACUGGUGGCAAGUGGCAUCGUGGCAGCUGCACGCUUGACUUUUCUCAGUUCAUGGGCAGUUAUUUUGCGCCUUGGUUUUUCCACACGCUUCUUGCGACCCUGUUGACUAUUUUGAAUGAAACGCUUGAUUGUUCGAUGAUCACGCUUCAGAAGCUUUGCAAUUUUAUGAGUGCUGCAUCCCUCUGCAAGAUAUCUCACUAUUUUUGACUUUUCUGAGCCUGUCAAGUCCUUCUUUUGACCCAUUUUGCCAAAGGAAAGGAAG